rnacentral:rRNA from 1 species
GAUGAACGCUAGCGGCAGGCUUAAUACAUGCAAGUUGAGGGGCAGCAUGAUAUACGCGAGUAUAUUGAUGGCGACCGGCGGACGGGUGAGUAAUAGGUAGGAGACCUACCUCAUACAGGGGGAUAGCAUAGAGAAAUCUGUGGUAAUACCCCAUGAGGUUAUAUGAAUAGAGGCAUAUAAUCAAAGCAUAAGCGAUUAUGCGGUAUGAGAGGGGCCUACUGACCAUUAGCUAGUUGGUGAGGUAAGGGCUCACCAAGGCGAAGAUGGUUAGGGGUUUUGAGAGAGAGACCCCCCACAUUGGAACUGAGAGACGGUCCAGACUCCUACGGGAGGCAGCAGUAGGGAAUAUUGGGCAAUGGGCGAAAGCCUGACCCAGCCAUGCCGCGUGAAGGAAGACGGCCUUAGGGUUGUAAACUUCUUUACUACGCGAAUAGAGGUUAGUACGAGAUACUAAUAGGAAGGUAGUGUAGUAAAAGCACCGGCUAACUCCGUG